GGCAGGAUAGAGAAGUGGAAUCUCACAAGGCUCAUAUCCUUGAGAACGGCGGUUCAAAUCCGUCUCCUGCAA
rnacentral:tRNA from 1 species